AGGCUGAUUCAAAGAGAAGGACAGUUCAGGGAGUCAAGAAAAUGUUCGAGGUGACAGUGAGAGCCACGUAGGGUUCACAGUAGUGGGUGACAGCAAACUGCAGACUCAGACACACACAGACCUGAUUGACUUCAACAAUAAUAUCUUCAGAACUGUCAACAAGCAUGAUUAUUUCUGACUUGAAUUUACAUCUCAGUUGAGCAAAGGAAGAAAGAAGCGAGGGGCUUGUAAUAAUGGCUUUCACAUGCUAAGUUAUGGACCUGCUUUGGUAUUGCCCACAUUUUGAAGUUACAUGGACCUGUUUCUCUACUAUGAAGUCUCAGGGUUCAAGAUUGCUUCCUAAGAUGGUCAACAACAGCCUGCAACACCUCCUUCCUAAGAUGGUCUACAACAGCCUGCAACACCUCCAGUUCUGGGGUGUCUAAUGCCACUUUCUGAUUUUCACUUGUAUUUUCAUACAAGUGGAACAUGCACACAUAUGCAAAAUGAAAAUAAAUCUUAAAAAAGGAA
rnacentral:lncRNA from 1 species